rnacentral:lncRNA from 1 species
CAUCUUCCAUCUCCACAACUGUUUUGAGAGGAAAUGGGAUUCUACUUCUUGUGCUGAGGUCAGGCUGUGUUAGAGGUCUUUUUUCAAGCCUGAGCCAGCUGUGGGUAUUCUUGGGAGAUGCACGUGUACUGGAGCAGACUGGGGUGAUGCAGAGGCUGGGAAAAAAAAAAAAAAAAGGUUAAGGAUGAUUUGAAGAACAUUUUCUGUGACUGUUGAGUUAGAGCCAUUGCAAUCAGUUCAGGCAGCAGAUCUUUGCUUUUUCAGAAUUGUGGUGGUCUGUGCACCUACUACACGUGAUCAGGGAGCAGGAGGAGCCUGCUGCAGGCUCUGCUCAUAUAAGCUCUCUUCAGCUCUCACUGCAGGUAUUGAAAGGUGAGUCCCCAUCACAGGUGUUUCCCACUGUUGUAAGGUGAUGUGCAGUGACUAAAAGGGUUGCCAAGGAUGAGCAAAGAAUAGACUGCAACAGUCAAUAAAUAUUCUGAGAUAUUUCAGAGUCAUUUCCAUAUUUAUAUGUAAUCAAUUUUAAUUUGGCUGUACUUGCCCAUCUGCUGUUUUUUUUUUUCCUAGCCUAUGCUGUCUCCAGGACUGAGAACUUUGUGUUUCCAUUGCCUUCUAUCUCUCAGGCAUGAACUGUCUGCAUUAAUAACAAGUACCUCCACUUGGAAAUUAUUUACAUGA